CGGGUGAGUAACACGUAUCCAACCUGCCGUCUACUCUUGGACAGCCUUCUGAAAGGAAGAUUAAUACAAGAUGGCAUCAUGAGUCCGCAUGUUCACAUGAUUAAAUGUAUUCCGGUAGACGAUGGGGAUGCGUUCCAUUAGAUAGUAGGCGGGGUAACGGCCCACCUAGUCUUCGAUGGAUAGGGGUUCUGAGAGGAAGGUCCCCCACAUUGGAACUGAGACACGGUCCAA
rnacentral:rRNA from 1 species